AUUGAACGCUGGCGGCAGGCCUAACACAUGCAAGUCGAACGAGUGGCGGACGGGUGAGUAAUGUCUGGGAAACUGCCUGAUGGAGGGGGAUAACUACUGGAAACGGUAGCUAAUACCGCAUACCAUCGGAUGUGCCCAGAUGGGAUUAGCUAGUAGGUGGGGUAAAGGCUCACCUAGGCGACGAUCCCUAGCUGGUCUGAGAGGAUGAUCGGUCACACUGGAACUGGGACACGGUCCAGACUCCUAGGGGAGGCAGCAGUGGGGAAUAUUGGACAAUGGGCGAAAGCCUGAUCCAGCCAUGCCGCGUGUGGGAAGAAGGUCUUCGGAUUGUAAAGCACGUUAAGUUGGGAGGCGUUACCAACAGAAUAAGCACCGGCUAACUUCGUGCCAGCAGCCGCGGUAAUUC
rnacentral:rRNA from 1 species